ensembl:lncRNA
CUUCACUAAUGGAUGGAUUGCAUGUUAUUCUUCUUGUUCUUUUAGGAGUUGUUUCCUGCAGUCAAAAUGGAAUUUCUGUAUCAGUACUGGAAGUGACAGCCCAACCUGGAGACAACAUCACUCUGUAUUGCGACUGCAAAAUGACCAUUGGAGUACAUAUAAUAUGGUACAGGAAGUGUUCUCAUGAUAACACUGUUGUUUUACGGUACAAAUCUGCGUCUUGGUUUCCUUUGGAACCUUUGUCUCAUUUGCACUUUGUGAAGAAUGAGUCCUCUAAUUCCCGAGACCUUGUGAUUUUAAAUAUCACUGAUUCUGAUGAAGGUCUCUACUACUGUGGAACAGAAGAACAGCAUGGGGAAAAUAAAGACUGCAGAUUUGUUUACACAUAUGGAAAUUCCACAACAAGACUCAAAUUAGUCACUAUAGGAAAACCAUUAAUCGUGCAAGAACAGCGUGUCAUGGAUGUUGGUGUAACCCGUCUGUCAUGGAUGAUGAUGUUCACUCCAGCCUUUACCAUUCUCACCUCAAUCUCCUUUAUUCUGGUAUAUCACACUUGUCAGAAAGCAGGUACAUACUUACUAUCUUUCCUAUUUUUGUGCAUAAUAGCUUUUUUUUUUUUUUUUGAAAUGUUUUAUUCAGUCAUUUUGCAGAGUCAUACUUGUUAUUUUUUUUCCACAAACCCAAUAGAUAGAUGCUUUUAAUCUGUUUAAUAUUACACUGCUGUUGUGUUCAUUUGUGCAGAAAAGAAAUCGCAUCAUCAUCAGAAAAGAUUGAGUAUCAAACGACAAUCAAGGCAAAAUAUGGAUGAAGAUCUGUGUUUAACAACAGUUGUGUUCCUGUCUCAGGACGCACAAACACAUCAUUCAGAUGACAAAGAAGAAAUAAAUAACUAGCUUUGUCUUUAAGUUAUAUUUGUAAGGUUUACAAUCAAAAGUACACGUUGUUUUUUUUCAAUCUCUCAUUUUUGGUAACUCUGUCACUGUGUUUUUGUCAUCAUUCCUGCAGUCAUAUAUGUUCUUGGCUACUUCUUAAUUAAAAAUAUAUAUACACCGCGUUCCAAAUUAUUAUGCAAAUUAUAUUUUUCUCUGUUUUUCCUAAAUAGUCAAUUCAAAUGACAGUUGGCAUAAUUUUCGAGUCAUCGACCAAUAGAGUAUAUUUCAAAUGUUACUGAACAAAACUCCCAAUGAAAACAGUAUGUUUUUCAAAAAUAAAAAACUUAAAAUCCACUGUUCCAAAUAAUUACGCACACAGAGUUUCAAAAGAUUUAAUAGGUUGUAGAGAAUUGAA